UGGUCUUUCGUCUCCCUCUCUCUAGAAAAAACUUAGGAAUCUUAACAAAUCAGGGAUUUGUACAUUUUUUUCUGUGAAGCAACGGUUUCAAGUUGAUCACGUUCCAUUAAGCUAUUCCUUUCAAUUCAUAAAAGAGAAAUUAAAAGACUUCUCAUUUUCCACUACUGCAUAGAAUUGAUCUCUAAAAAUUUAUUCAACCCUCCUCUUUACAGGUUAACGAACUAACCCUCAUCCUAAAUUUCAAACCUGAUUACAAUUUCGAUGAGUUUUACAGGCUAACCAUGGCGGUCUUGAUAUUUUUGUAUGCAGUUUUAAAACUGAUAUUUUUGUAGAGCUUCUGACCCCACUUCAUUUCGUAAACCAAUAGGAAUCUAGGAUUUUGAUAUAUUUUCGUGGUUUUUUUUACGGCACACAAAAUGGGUAGAUGGUCAAUUACGCAAAACCAAACCAAACCCCCUAAUUCAAUUGUCUUCGCUUUUCCAUUCUCAUCUCUUUUUUAUGCCGUCACCACUGAUUCUAUUCUGAAACAGUGGGUAACCAAGAUCGAGAUCAUCUAACAAGUAUUAUUACUGUGAACAUUGGGUAAACAAGAUAUAUUCUCUUCGGUUUUCUAUUAUACAAUGUAUGAGGACUCACCUCUCCGUGUUUUCAUUAUUACGGAGAAACCCUAGCUCCGGGGGAGAUGCUGGAUUUAGUUCGCAUCAUUUGACUAGACAAAGAAUACAAUGAAAAAUUCUUACUGAAGGGGAAGCACAGCUGAAGGGGAUGAUGGAGCAGAAUUAUGACAGGUUUAGUUCAGGAUUGUCUACUCUAGCAAUAGAUGAUCCAAGGGGGAGGCUUACCCUUUCGUUAUCUAGGCCUGGCCAGGUUAAAUAAGUUCAUGAAAAUCAAUUCAAUUUUUUUUAAUGUAAUAGGAUUUAGCAUUCGUUAUCCUUCUAUUUGUCUAAAUACAUUCCAGUUUCUCAGUUAAUUCUAUUCCAUUUUUAUAUUGCUAAUCACUGGCCAU